UGUAAUUUUCCACUGCUUUCUACAAGGACAGGAAUUACUUUUUUCUCAGCACAGCUCUGCAUCACUCUGUGAUCCUGUGAGCGUAAUCCCUUGGCACUAAAGCCUCUUAUUGACAAUGCAGUAAACCUGUUCCACAAGCAUCAGAAAAGCGAAAUAAAAGAUGUUCCAAAUUUGUGUUUGGCAAAAUAUGACACUGAAAUCAAUUAAAUGUUUCCAGAUCAAUAGGAACUUCAGUCAAUAAACCUUCCAUCAGAACAAUGUCUAGCAGACCUGUUGACAGCAUUCGAAAGCUCAUGAUUUAAAAUCUCUGUUGGGGUUGUUAUUAAAGCUGUUACUCAGUUCCUUAUCUAUUUGCUGCAACUCGUGGUCAUCAUUUGUGGGGUCAGCCUGAAGGUCUUGACUGAAAAUUUUGGCUGUUGCACAUAAAACUUAAUUACGAGGUCAGAGACAAGAACUUGUUUGUUGGGGAUUUACAAGAGGAACAUAAAAGCUUUUGAGAUUUUGCUUCAGAAGACAGAUGCUGUUAGGAGUGAUGUUGCCUUUUGUAUUCAGGGGCUAUGUCAUUCCUGCAGUCAAAGGCUUGAAUUCCAUCUCUGUUUAAUUAACCCAAAGCCAAAUUCUGCUGAAAAUAUCCUCAGAAUUUGGGGAAGCUUCCUUCCAGAGUCAGCCAAGUAAUUCUAGGAACAGUUUAACCUGCUGCAUCCUAAGGUCUUGAUUCAGUAGGCAGGAACUCAUUCAGCAUUGAAUUCAUUGCCAAACUCAAGUUCAGAAGCUAUCAGUGAAUCUAAUUUCUGAAGGAUGAAGGCACUGAAUUACAUCCAUAAAUCUUCCUCUGCAGCAGACAAUGAGGACCAAGACAGAAUCAGAGGAAGAGAGCUCACAAAUUCCAGUUGCCAUGUGGGCUGCUGAAGCCUCUGACCUUCCUGAAGGGCAAGAGGGAAAAGUUUCUGUGUGCCUCUGAAACACUGUCAGGCAGGACUAACAACUGCCCACCACAGAUGAGGAAACCCUCUAAAUACUAAGACUUCUCUAGGGACACAAAUUUCCACAGUCCAGCUACUGCUGAAGGUGCUUUGAACUGUACUGGCUGAUGCAGGCCCACACUAGUGAUAUGCUUGUGUCUCUUCGUUCUUUAAAAUAAAAUAAAUCACAUCCCUCCUGGAUUUACGUUGGUC
rnacentral:lncRNA from 1 species